rnacentral:RNase_MRP_RNA from 1 species
CACAUCUUGCUGCAGGUCUGUUGCCUAGGCUACAGGGGGAGGGCUUGGUUCCUUACCUGAGCCUAGGGGGAAGUCCCCAGACUGUGGCCAGAGAGUGCCACGUGCACACACACUUAGCCUCCCUCUCCCCUGCUUCUCACUGUCACUCCACCAAAAAGCAAUCGGGAUUACAGAAGCCAGGGGCGUAGUUAUGGUGAUGCAAGCAGGGAGGGGGCUUGCCAUUUCACCCCAAGCUGUCCUGAUGCCCUUUAGCAUUGGGCUGACCUGCCUAGAAGG